CAUCCAGGGCAAAGAAUGCAAUCCUAGUAUGUAUCAGAUGUAAUUAAGGAUGUAUGACUUAAGUACCAACUCAUGGCAGCAGUCUGAAGUGAUACCGUUAGACUGAGAUACAACAUUGUGGUUUUACUUCCCAUCUAGGGAGCUGUAAUAAGUGCUAAAAAUACUCUGCUGGGCACAUGGAAAUACAGAGUGUUAUCACAUGUGGAGGAGGAAGAGGGAAUGUUAGUCCCAGGAGGAGUAACCACAGAAGAGGCAAAAACUUAGAAGUGAACUCUUUAAGGCUGCUCAGUGAUCUCAAGAAUUGGUUUGCAGAGAAGAUGGGAGAGGAUAACAACUUCUGUUCUCUCACAAAAGACUGAUUCCAAAAGAGGAAGACUUUGCUCAGUAUCUUUUCAAAAUCUCUUUGGAAGUUACCCAUGAUACUAAGGGCUACCUAGAGAGGGCAGAUCUAGGAUCCGUCAGUCGUGUUCUGGAGUAUAAGUUAAAAAGAUCUUUCAUCCAGGCUGGCUGUGACGGAGAGGGAACAUGCUCAGGUGAUGCAGCAGUGAGCGUGUUUGCCAAUAGCCCAUGUUGCUCAGGAUUCAAGAGCAAGAGGGAGAGACGAUCUACCCACUGACGUCAAGAGAAGCAGCUGAAAACAGGCCAAUAACAAUUUUUAGGUUUUAAAGCAGGCUCUGUGGCUGUGCUGGAAGGAGGAGAUUUCUUGUCACAAGCACAAAUAAAAAAGUCUUUUAGAAAAAAGAAACAGGGAAAGAAGACGUCGGUAUCAAACCACAAUAAAUCAGUCAAAAAAUUUUUCUAAAAAGACUGUAUCCCACUGCCUCCCACUUGCACAACACUUUCAUGGAGAAGAGCACAGACUGAGGCAAAGCAGUACCCACCGAGAGGGAAAGCGGAGGGUGAAUGCUGACUGCUGGGCAAAGCUGUAUCGUCUAGUCUGUCCCCGGGCUGCUAAUUUAUUCUGCACAGUCCCAGUUACUCAAAGCCCACGCUGACACAGCGCCAGGCGAGGACAUGGCACCUCUUCAGGAACAGGAGGAACACAAGAGAAAAUAAGAACCAAAACACCCACGAACGGGGAGAAGGUGGAAACGAUUUCGGGCAGCCCCUGGGUUUAAAGGGCCAGCCACCAGAACGAGAGGCUAUGGAAAAUACCCUCUGCAAAGACACACACCAAAGUCAGUGGUGGCAAAGCUGCUAAAGAGAUGGUAACUUUAGCUGAUUAGAUGGGCUGCUGCCUAACUGUCUAAACCCCAGAGAUUUGUCCAUGUAUUGUUUGUUUCACUUCUGGAACCUGGCCAGCCUUGUAUGUUAUGCUGAUGCAGUUCAUACAAUACAAAGAACAAGUUUCUUUUUCCUUUCCUUUGUUAUUCAUACCUUAAAUGCAACAUUGUGCUCUCCUUUAUGUCCCUCUUCUGGAAAAAACAGGUGAAGGUAGAUAAAGGAUAGAGCUGCAGAAACUUUUAUCCCCAAUAUAAAUGGAUGCUUGGGAAACUAAAAAUAUUUUGCAAGAAGACAAUUACUUCAGUGCAAUUUUUCAUUUGGAAAAAAAUUAGUAUUUGAAAUGGCCAAUUCCAACAUUUUCAAAAUGGAUUUUUCAGUUCAAAAUUGAACAAAAAUUCCUGUUAGGGUCAUUUUAGCUUGGCACCCCCAAGUCAUCAUCUCUCCCCCUUUCUUAGCAUGUCUCUUUUUUUCUCUGCUGUAGAUAAGCUGGAGGAUUUGCAUUCUGUUUUCUGACUGACUCAUUUUCCAAAUACGGCCAUUUAACAAAUAUUGUUUCUGCAGGCAGCCAUCCCCUUCAUAAAGGAAAUUACUCAAUCAAUAAAGUUAAUUUCCACUCCCCCUGAAGCAGCCACCCACCCCAGCAGAUGUUCAGAAACAGACUAAAACAAAGCCAGAAACCCAGUUAGAUCCACAUAUCUCUUGCCAACGUCCUCCUGCAGUUAACGUUGAAAAUCAUACUUUAUCUAUACUAGGAAGCAAUGCAGAGAGCAAGACCAUGUUCUGCUUCUUUAAUCAGCUAACUGAAAGAUUAAUAAACA